UACAGAGGUCCCGAGCGUUGUUCGGAUUCACUGGGCGUAAAGGGUGCGUAGGUGGUGAGGUAAGUCGGAUGUGAAAUCUCCAAGCUCAACUUGGAAACUGCAUUGGAAACUACCUUGCUAGAGGAUUUGAGGGGGGAUUGGAAUACUUGGUGUAGCAGUGAGAUGCGUAGAUAUCAAGUGGAACACCCGUGGCGAAGGCGGCUCUCUGGGACGGUACUGACGCUGAGACGCGAAAGCGUGGGGAGCGAACAGG
rnacentral:rRNA from 1 species